CCCCCCGUGUCCCCUCCAGCCGGAGCCGCUCCCCGAGGACAGCCUAAGGCAGAAGCCCAACGCCAACGCCGUGCGCUCGCUGGAGGCCGUGAUCCAGGUCCAGAGUAAAUACUGGGUGGCCGUGCAGCGCUUCGCCUCCAAGCUGGGCUGCUCCUUCCUCGAGGCCCAGCACCACGAGGCCGACGAGGUGGAGACGGUGACGGCCCUGGCGUCGCUCUCGGUGGCCGUGAUGGUGGAGAAGAGGGCACAGGAGGAGCCGAUGGAGCAGGAGGAGCCCAUGACCCAGUGACACUUGGGGACGGUCCCCAGGCGUGGCCGGAGCCCCCGAAGAUCCCGAUCCCCGUUUGUCCCCCUCGCUCCCGAGGCCCUGGGCGGGCCAGGACUCUUGGAAGGGACAUUCCCGCAUCCAAUGGAUGGGACCACGGACAGCCCGAGCCCGGACCGUGCCUGCAGCCCCCUCCCCCCCGUUUUGGGACCCCUCGAGUGGGGUGGAACCCCCCCAGCCCUGCGGCACUG
rnacentral:lncRNA from 1 species